GGGGGAAUAUUGCACAAUGAGGGAAACCUUGAUGCAGCCAUGCCGCGUGUGUGAAGAAGGCCCGAGGGUUGUAAAGCACUUUCAAUUGUGAGGAAGGUAGUGUAGUUAAUACCUGCAUUGCUUGACGUUAACUUUAGAAGAAGCACCGGCUAACUCUGUGCCAGCAGCCGCGGUAAUACAGAGGGUGCAAGCGUUAUUCGGAAUUACUGGGCGUAAAGCGCGCGUAGGCGGACUGUUAAGUCGGUUGUGAAAGCCCUGGGCUCAACCUGGGAACUGCAUCCGAUACUGGCAAUCUAGAGUUUAAGAGAGGGAAGGGGAAUUCCUAGUGUAGCAGUGAAAUGCGUAGAUAUUAGGAGGAACAUCAGUGGCGAAGGCGCCUUCCUGGCUUAAAACUGACGCUGAGGUGCGAAAGCGUGGGUAGCGAACGGGAUUAGAUACCCCGGUAGUCCACGCCGUAAACGAUGUCAACUAGUUGUGGGGCUUAUUAAAAAGUUUCGUAACGCAGCUAACGCGAUAAGUUGACCGCCUGGGGAGUACGGCCGCAAGGUUA
rnacentral:rRNA from 1 species